CCUACGGGAGGCUGCAGUGGGGAAUAUUGCGCAAUGGGGGAAACCCUGAUGCAGCGACGCCGCGUGAGUGAAGCAGUCUUUCGGUACGUAAGGCUCUAUCAGCAGGGCAGAAAAUGACGGUACCUGCCUAAGACGCCCCGGCUAACUCCGUGCCAGCAGCCGCGGUCAUACGUAGGGGGCAAGCGUUGUCCGGAUUUACUGGGUGUAAAGGGAGCGUAGACGGCGUGCCAAGUCUGAUGUGAAAGGCCGGGGCUCAACCCCGGGACUGCAUUGGAAACUGGCAUGCUGGAGUGCCGGAGGGGCAAGCGGAAUUCCUAGUGUAGCGGUGAAAUGCGUAGAUAUUAGGAGGAACACCGGUGGCGAAGGCGGCUUGCUGGACGGUAACUGACGUUGAGGCUCGAAAGCGUGGGGAGCAAACAGGAUUAGAUACCCCAGUAGUC
rnacentral:rRNA from 1 species